rnacentral:rRNA from 1 species
CCUACGGGCGGCAGCAGUGGGGAAUAUUGGACAAUGGGGGCAACCCUGAUCCAGCCAUGCCGCGUGUGUGAAGAAGGCCCUCGGGUUGUAAAGCACUUUCAGUGAGGAAGAACGCCUGGUGGUUAAUACCCAUCAGGAAAGACAUCACUCACAGAAGAAGCACCGGCUAACUCCGUGCCAGCAGCCGCGGUAAUACGGAGGGUGCGAGCGUUAAUCGGAAUUACUGGGCGUAAAGCGCGCGUAGGUGGCUUGAUAAGCCGGUUGUGAAAGCCCCGGGCUCAACCUGGGAACGGCAUCCGGAACUGUCAAGCUAGAGUGCAGGAGAGGAAGGUAGAAUUCCCGGUGUAGCGGUGAAAUGCGUAGAGAUCGGGAGGAAUACCCGUGGCGAAGGCGGCCUUCUGGACUGACACUGACACUGAGGUGCGAAAGCGUGGGUAGCAAACAGGAUUAGAUACCCGUGUAGUC